rnacentral:rRNA from 1 species
UGCGUAAUAGCUCACUAGUCGAGUGACACUGCGCCGAAAAUGUACCGGGGCUAAACAUAUUACCGAAGCUGUGGAUUGUCCUUCGGACAAUGGUAGGAGAGCGUUCUAAGGGCGUUGAAGCAUGAUCGCAAGGACAUGUGGAGCGCUUAGAAGUGAGAAUGCCGGUGUGAGUAGCGAAAGACGGGUGAGAAUCCCGUCCACCGAUUGACUAAGGUUUCCAGAGGAAGGCUCGUCCGCUCUGGGUUAGUCGGGUCCUAAGCUGAGGCCGACAGGCGUAGGCGAUGGAUAACAGGUUGAUAUUCCUGUACCACCUAGUAUCGUUUUAAUCGAUGGGGGGACGCAGUAGGAUAGGCGAAGCGUGCUGUUGGAGUGCACGUCCAAGCAGUAAGGCUGAGUGUUAGGCAAAUCCGGCACUCGUUAGGCUGAGCUGUGAUGGGGAGAGGAAAUUGUUUCCUCGAGUCGUUGAUUUCACACUGCCGAGAAAAGCCUCUAGAUAGAUAACAGGUGCCCGUACCGCAAACCGACACAGGUAGUCAAGAUGAGAAUUCUAAGGUGAGCGAGCGAACUCUCGUUAAGGAACUCGGCAAAAUGACCCCGUAACUUCGGGAGAAGGGGUGCUCUUUAGGGUUCACGCCCAGAAGAGCCGCAGUGAAUAGGCCCAAGCGACUGUUUAUCAAAAACACAGGUCUCUGCUAAACCGUAAGGUGAUGUAUAGGGGCUGACGCCUGCCCGGUGCUGGAAGGUUAAGAGGAGUGGUUAGCUUCUGCGAAGCCACGAAUCGAAGCCCC